rnacentral:rRNA from 1 species
GACGAACGCUGGCGGCGUGCUUAACACAUGCAAGUCGAACGGAAAGGCCCUGCUUUUGUUGGGUUCUCGAGUGGCGAACGGGUGAGUAACACGUGAGUAACCUGCACUUGACUUUGGGAUAACUUCAGGAAACUGGGGCUAAUACCGGGUAGGAUCUUCUGCUGCAUAUGGGUGGUUGGAAAGUUUCGGCGGUUGUGGAUGGACUCGCUGCUUAUCAGCUGGUUUGUGUGGUAGUUGCUUACCAAGCCUUUGACGGGUAGCCUGCCUGAGAGGGUGACCGGCGACCUUGCGCCUGCGAUAGGGACCAGACUGCUACCGGACGCAGCAGUGGGGAAUAUUGCAGAAUGGGCGCACGCCUGAUGCAGCAAUGUCGCGAGCGGGAUGCCGGGCUUCGGGUUGUAAACAGAUUUCGAAUGUGACGAAGCGUGCGUGACGGUACUGGGUCAAGAAGCCACGGCUAACUACGUG